AUUGUUCUGGAUACUGUCAUACUGCUGGUUUAUGACUGUGGCAACAAAGAAAACAUUGAAAAAUCAUGUCCUGGCACUGGGUAGAUACUAAGAACACAUGGAGCUCCUUGAAAUUACAGGUUCUGAAAACCUCCUCAACCAUCGUCUUAAGGAGAGCACAGGGAUCUACUAUUGAAAAUAACAGUAGCUCACUGAAAGAUCAUUUCUGCUGGAGUCCUUCUACCCCAGAUGUUGCUUACACUAUCAACUGGAAUUCAAACACAGGAGUAGACCUAUGUACUCAUUAGCCAGGAAAGUCUGGCCAAAAAUGUAUAGUAGCAUUACCAAGAAGAUAAAGAUGCUUUACUCUCAACUAAUCCUUUGAUGUUUGCUAAAGAAAUGAGAAACCUUCAGCAGUGAGAAACUCUAGUGUAAACAUAUUUCAGAUGAAUGUCACCUACUUUGUCAUUCUAGAUGAAGUAUUUAAAAGCGGGU
rnacentral:lncRNA from 1 species